rnacentral:rRNA from 1 species
UACGUAGGGUGCGAGCGUUAAUCGGAAUUACUGGGCGUAAAGCGUGCGCAGGCGGUUCGUUAAGUCGGCGGUGAAAUCCCCGGGCUUAACCUGGGAAUGGCCGUUGAAACUGGCGGGCUUGAGUGUGGCAGAGGGGGGUGGAAUUCCGCGUGUAGCAGUGAAAUGCGUAGAGAUGUGGAGGAACACCGAUGGCGAAGGCAGCCCCCUGGGCUAACACUGACGCUCAUGCACGAAAGCGUGGGGAGCAAACAGG